UGUAAUUCCAGCGCGUGUUCAUUCACCGCGCAUACAAGACAAACGCGCCCGCGUGUGUCUGCGAUAGAUUUGCGGCCCGAGAAGCUUCUAUGUAAAUAUUUGACUUGAGCGUCGUACGAGGUUUUUGGAGUUCACUGCGGCGCACGUCAGCGCGCGGGCUCCGUGCACGCGUCAUUUAUUACACAUAUGCAGGGACAGGAAGCCAGACCGGUCCAGGGACACAUACUGUAUUUCACCAUGUAGCCUCCCCCACAUUCUCAGCUGUAAGCACUGAACCCCUUUUUUAAUCAGGGUUUAUGGAGACAGUAGCCCUCUGGAACAGCAGCCACCCUGGACUUUGACACCUGCUGUGCAACAAAAACAAGGACACAUAAAUGACAUUCCCAUACAUACCUGCGCCUACUUUUUAACUGCUGUGCCACGUUGCGAUCAGAUCGGCUGCGAGAAUGAACGAGGAGAAAGGAGAAAGCCUUGAUGUGUCCAGCUGACGUCCUGCGCUGACAGACGUUUCGGAGGCUCUGCGAUGUAUAGGAGCUGCAGCGGGGGCACACAGCUUAGUUCAGCUCUGACAAAUGUCCGCCCGGUAUGUGGGAGCUGGAGGAAGGGACGCUCUGUUGGAUAUGGGACGGAGAAUCUGCUAUCACACCCGCUGAAAAGACAAACCUCCUGCUUCUGCGCUCAACCGAUCACUUAUCACAGUCCACAUCCAUAAAAUCCAAAAAAAGACCACAUCCAGUUUACAGUGGUAACACCGAAUGCCGAUGUGGUAUUCAGCUUUCAUCAGUCAUGUGGUCAUUAUUAUAUAAGAUCAUCUGUCAGUAUAAGCAGAUGUCAAAUGAUCCAUUUAGUUGUCAUGAUUCACACAUAUGAUGUUUGUCCAUUUGUCGUUUCUAAGUCAAUAAAGUCUCCAUGUAAAGUCUCAUGUAGGCUUGUGUUAGAAAACUCAGUGAACUACAUCAUCUCACUCAACACGCGUGACCAACAUGGAGCCUGCUGGGCCCAGAACAGUUGGUGAAAAAUAUAAAAUUCACAAUAAACCUGCUCAUAUCAACAGCUGCAGUGAACAGGAGCAGCUCUACAAUGUUUCAGUUACGGGUUGUGGUGAACGCU